ensembl:lncRNA
CAGGAAAAUGCUCUUACCCCAACCCAUCCCAAGGGCCCACACCAGAGAGGGAAGCCAGGAGCACAGGAUCUUCCUAAAGCUGAUGAAGACUCAGAGAUGCCUCUUCUAAGCUCUUUCUUAGGAGAAGCAUCUGUGGAUACAGCUCACCUGUUUCAGCAGAGGGAUCUUUCUGACUGAACCUGUGCACUAUGUGAAGAGAGACACAGAGCAGCUACAUAUUCCACAUUCUUCAGGCCUUCGGUGAGAAAACUGUGCCCUGUGGAUGGGGACCAGCUGCUCAUUCAGGGCACGUAACCCUCUACAAGGUGCUGGGGGUUGUGCCUGGUCCUCUCUGUCACCCUUCUGAGCAGGGGCCAAGCUGUUGCCAAGUUGCCACAUAUCUCCCAAAAAGACAUGGAUGAACAGACAAGGGUGAACACGCUGUUUUGUAAGUCCCAUGCUGAUUAUUUUAAUGACCAAGGGCCCUUCUGAAAACCUUGUGGGGGGUAGAGAACAUCACAGAUGUGACAGGAGCCCAGCAGCUGACUAAAAGCAGUCCUGGGGG